UACGUAGGGACCAAGCGUUGUUCGGAUUUACUGGGCGUAAAGGGCGCGUAGGCGGCAAUUCAAGUCAUCUGUGAAAUCUCCGGGCUUAACCCGGAACGGUCAGGUGAUACUGUUUUGCUAGAGUGCGGAAGGGGCAAUCGGAAUUCUCGGUGUAGCGGUGAAAUGCGUAGAUAUCGAGAGGAACACCAGAGGUGAAGACGGGUUGCUGGGCCGACACUGACGCUGAGGAGCGAAAGCGUGGGGAGCGAACAGG
rnacentral:rRNA from 1 species